rnacentral:rRNA from 1 species
GACGAACGCUGGCGGCGUGCUUAACACAUGCAAGUCGAACGGAAAGGCCCUGCUUUUGUGGGGUGCUCGAGUGGCGAACGGGUGCGUAACACGUGAGUAACCUGCCCUUGACUUUGGGAUAACUUCAGGAAACUGGGGCUAAUACCGGAUAGGAGCUCCUGCUGCAUGGUGGGGGUUGGAAAGUUUCGGCGGUUGGGGAUGGACUCGCGGCUUAUCAGCUUGUUGGUGGGGUAGUGGCUUACCAAGGCUUUGACGGGUAGCCGGCCUGCGAGGGUGACCGGCCACAUUGGGACUAAGAUACGGCCCAGACUCCUACGGGAGGCAGCAGUGGGGAAUAUUGCACAAUGGGCGGAAGCCUGAUGCAGCAACGCCGCGUGCGGGAUGACGGCCUUCGGGUUGUAAACCGCUUUCGCCUGUGACGAAGCGUGAGUGACGGUAAUGGGUAAAGAAGCACCGGCUAACUACGUG